GAUCAUGGCUCAGGAUGAACGCUANCUACAGGCUUAACACAUGCAAGUCGAGGGGCAGCAUGGUCUUAGCUUGCUAAGGCCGAUGGCGACCGGCGCACGGGUGAGUAACACGUAUCCAACCUGCCGUCUACUCUUGGACAGCCUUCUGAAAAGGAAGAUUAAUACAAGAUGGCAUCAUGAGUUUCACAAUGUUCACAUGAUUAAAGGUAUUCCGGUAGACGAUGGGGA
rnacentral:rRNA from 1 species